AGAGUUUGAUCAUGGCUCAGGAUGAACGCUAGCGGGAGGCCUAACACAUGCAAGUCGAGCGGUAAAUUGCCGAAAGGUGAUGAGAGCGGCGCACGGGUGAGUAACGCGUAUGCAACCUGCCCCGGACAAGGGGAUAGCCCGUUGAAAGACGGAUUAAUACCCGAUAACAUCACGGUUACGCAUGUAACAGUGAUCAAAGCUGAGGUGGUCCGGGAUGGGCAUGCGUGGCAUUAGCUAGUUGGUGAGGUAACGGCUCACCAAGGCAGUGAUGCCUAGGGGCUCUGAGAGGAUGAUCCCCCACACUGGUACUGAGAUACGGACCAGACUCCUACGGGAGGCAGCAGUGAGGAAUAUUGGUCAAUGGGCGGAAGCCUGAACCAGCCAUCCCGCGUGAAGGAAGACGGCCCUACGGGUUGUAAACUUCUUUUCUGCAGGAAUAAAGCGGUCUACGUGUAGGCAUUUGCAGGUACUGCAGGAAUAAGCAUCGGCUAACUCCGUGCCAGCAGCCGCGGUAAUACGGAGGAUGCAAGCGUUAUCCGGAUUCAUUGGGUUUAAAGGGUACGUAGGCGGCCUAAUAAGUCAGUGGUGAAAAUCUGUCGCUUAACGAUAGAAGUGCCAAUGAUACUGUGAGGCUUGAGUACAGAUGAGGUAAGCGGAAUGUGUAGUGUAGCGGUGAAAUGCAUAGAUAUUACACAGAACUCCGAUUGCGAAGGCAGCUUACUAAGUUGAGACUGACGCUGAUGUACGAAAGCGUGGGGAUCGAACAGGAUUAGAUACCCUG
rnacentral:rRNA from 1 species